UGCAGUCGAGCGGCAGCACGGGUACUUGUACCUGGUGGCGAGCGGCGGACGGGUGAGUAAUGCCUAGGAAUCUGCCUGGUAGUGGGGGAUAACGCUCGGAAACGGACGCUAAUACCGCAUACGCCCUACGGGAGAAAGCAGGGGACCUUCGGGCCUUGCGCUAUCAGAUGAGCCUAGGUCGGAUUAGCUAGUUGGUGAGGUAAUGGCUCACCAAGGCGACGAUCCGUAACUGGUCUGAGAGGAUGAUCAGUCACACUGGAACUGAGACACGGUCCAGACUCCUACGGGAGGCAGCAGUGGGGAAUAUUGGACAAUGGGCGAAAGCCUGAUCCAGCCAUGCCGCGUGUGUGAAGAAGGUCUUCGGAUUGUAAAGCACUUUAAGUUGGGAGGAAGGGCAGUUACCUAAUACGUGAUUGUUUUGACGUUACCGACAGAAUAAGCACCGGCUAACUCUGUGCCAGCA
rnacentral:rRNA from 1 species